rnacentral:rRNA from 1 species
AUUGAACGCUGGCGGCAGGCCUAACACAUGCAAGUCGAGCGGAUGAAGGGAGCUUGCUCCUGGAUUCAGCGGCGGACGGGUGAGUAAUGCCUAGGAAUCUGCCUGGUAGUGGGGGAUAACGUCCGGAAACGGGCGCUAAUACCGCAUACGUCCUGAGGGAGAAAGUGGGGGAUCUUCGGACCUCACGCUAUCAGAUGAGCCUAGGUCGGAUUAGCUAGUUGGUGGGGUAAAGGCCUACCAAGGCGACGAUCCGUAACUGGUCUGAGAGGAUGAUCAGUCAAACGGAAACGAGAACACGGUCAAGACCCCCAGGGGGGGAAGAAGGGGGGAAUUUGGGAAAAGGGGGAAAAGCCGAAUCCGGACAGGCCGGGGGGGUAAAAAAGGUUUUCGGAUUGAAAAGCCUUUUAAGUUGGGAGGAAGGGCAGUAAGUUAAUACCUUGCUGUUUUAACGUUACAAACAAAAAAAGCACCGGCUAACUUCGU